rnacentral:rRNA from 1 species
UGAGUAACCUGCCCUUAACUCUGGGAUAAGCCUGGGAAACUGGGUCUAAUACCGGAUAUGACUCCUCAUCGCAUGGGUGGGGGAUGGAAAGCUUUUUGUGGUUUUGGAUGGACUCGCGGCCUAUCAGCUUGUUGGUGAGGUAAUGGCUCACCAAGGCGACGACGGGUAGCCGGCCUGAGAGGGUGACCGGCCACACUGGGACUGAGACACGGCCCAGACUCCGUACGGGAGCAG